rnacentral:tRNA from 1 species
GUUAAUACCGCUGAGUUUGCGCUCUUGAUUUGAAAUCAGGAUGUUUGUUUUAAAUUAACAAUAUUAACU